GGAUGUCCGAAUGGGGAAACCCACUCCUUAUGGAGUAUCCAUGGCUGAAUACAUAGGCCAUGUGAAGCGAACGCGGUGAACUGAAACAUCUAAGUAACCGCAGGAAAAGAAAUCAACCGAGAUUCCCAAAGUAGUGGCGAGCGAAAUGGGAUGAGCCUUGUACUCUUUAUUUGUAUUGUUAGCCGAACGCUCUGGAAAGUGCGGCCAUAGCAGGUGAUAGCCCUGUAGGCGAAAACAGUAUGAAAGAACUAGGUGUACGACAAGUAGGGCGGGACACGUGAAAUCCUGUCUGAAGAUGGGGGGACCAUCCUCCAAGGCUAAAUACUCGUGAUCGACCGAUAGUGAACCAGUACCGUGAGGGAAAGGCGAAAAGAACCCCGGGAGGGGAGUGAAAUAGAUCCUGAAACCGCAUGCAUACAAACAGUCGGAGCCUCGUAAGGGGUGACGGCGUACCUUUUGUAUAAUGGGUCAGCGACUUACGUUCAGUAGCAAGCUUAACCGUAUAGGGCAGGCGUAGCGAAAGCGAGUCCGAAUAGGGCGUUCAGUUGCUGGGCGUAGACCCGAAACCAGGUGAUCUAUCCAUGGCCAGGAUGAAGGUGCGGUAACACGUACUGGAGGUCCGAACCCACUAACGUUGAAAAGUUAGGGGAUGAGCUGUGGAUAGGGGUGAAAGGCUAAACAAACCUGGAAAUAGCUGGUUCUCUCCGAAAACUAUUUAGGUAGUGCCUCGUGUCUCACCUUCGGGGGUAGAGCACUGUCAUGGUUGGGGGGUCUAUUGCAGAUUACCCCGCCAUAGCAAACUCCGAAUACCGAAGAGUGCAAUCACGGGAGACAGACAUCGGGUGCUAACGUCCGGUGUCAAGAGGGAAACAACCCAGACCGCCAGCUAAGGUCCCCAAAUAUAGCUAAGUGGGAAACGAAGUGGGAAGGCUAAAACAGUCAGGAGGUUGGCUUAGAAGCAGCCACCCUUUAAAGAAAGCGUAAUAGCUCACUGAUCGAGUCGUCCUGCGCGGAAGAUGUAACGGGGCUAAGCUAUAUACCGAAGCUGCGGAUGCGUGCUUAGCACGCAUGGUAGGAGAGCGUUCCGUAAGCCUGCGAAGGUGCGUUGUAAAGCGUGCUGGAGGUAUCGGAAGUGCGAAUGCUGACAUGAGUAGCGAUAAAGGGGGUGAAAGGCCCCCUCGCCGUAAGCCCAAGGUUUCCUACGCAACGUUCAUCGGCGUAGGGUGAGUCGGCCCCUAAGGCGAGGCAGAAAUGCGUAGCUGAUGGGAAGCAGGUCAAUAUUCCUGCACCGUCGUUAGAUGCGAUGGGGGGACGGAUCGCGGAAGGUUGUCCGGGUGUUGGAAGUCCCGGUCGCUGCAUUGGAGAAGGCGCUUAGGCAAAUCCGGGCGCAGGAUUCAAGGGUGUGGCGCGAGCUCCCUCGGGAGCGAAGCAAUUGGAAGUGGUUCCAAGAAAAGCCUCUAAGCUUCAGUCUAACGAUGACCGUACCGCAAACCGACACAGGUGGGCGAGAUGAGUAUUCUAAGGCGCUUGAGAGAACUCGGGAGAAGGAACUCGGCAAAUUGGUACCGUAACUUCGGGAUAAGGUACGCCCUUGUAGCUUGAUGCGCCUGCGCGCAGAGGGUGAAGGGGUUGCAAUAAACUGGUGGCUGCGACUGUUUAAUAAAAACACAGCACUCUGCAAACACGAAAGUGGACGUAUAGGGUGUGACGCCUGC
rnacentral:rRNA from 1 species